UACGGAGGGGACUAGCGUUGUUCGGAAUUACUGGGCGUAAAGCGCACGUAGGCGGAUCGUUAAGUCGGGGGUGAAAUCCUGGAGCUCAACUCCAGAACUGCCUUCGAUACUGGCGAUCUUGAGUCCGGAAGAGGUGAGUGGAACUCCUAGUGUAGAGGUGGAAUUCGUAGAUAUUAGGAAGAACACCAGUGGGCGAAGGCGGCUCACUGGUCCGGGUACUGACGCUGAGGUGACGAA
rnacentral:rRNA from 1 species